GGAGAGGUCAACUGGUCGGUCUCGUGGUUUUGGGUAUGUGACAUUUGCAACUGACGAGGAUGCUAAGAAUGCACUAUCAAGUGAGCACUUUCUUGGCAACAGAAUGAUGGAAGUUAAAGUUGCCACACCUAAGGAGGAGAUGAGAGCACCUCCAAAGAGAGUCACCAGGAUUUUUGUAGCAAGGAUCUCACAAUCUGUUACUGAGGCUGCCUUCCGCAGUCAUUUUGAGAAAUAUGGAGAGAUAACAGAUCUUUACAUGCCAAAGGUGCGUUUUUCUUUUCACUAAAGUGGGAGAUUAGUUCUGUGGUUCUACU
rnacentral:misc_RNA from 1 species